UACGCCCCCGCGGCACUGCAACUCAUCGCCCACAGCCACAGACUGCACAAACACUUACCUUCAAUAUCUCUCUCUCUCUCUCUCUUUCCCGCCCAUGUCUCGGGGAACAGACCGUCUCGUGAAGAGCUUGAAGCAGUUCGCAGAUGUUCAGUACAAGUUUUUCACUGCUCGUUAUGGCCAACAACUGAUUGACAUUUUUGAAUUUCCAAUCAAGCUAGUCUUGUCACCUUUCACCCUCGCUUUUGACAUCGCUGGCUCUGCUCCUCGCGGGUUUGGCGUCCCCGAACUGAUCUCCAAAAUAUCUUGCGCUUCAAUCUUCGAACUGUAAAACUUGCAAUGGAUGGCAGGCACUGCGGUGUACCAUGUGCAGAGGAUCUGGAAAGGUCCAUUACCAAAUCAAGAAUUAUACAUUGAGAAGAAAUAACACUGGAGGAAACAGAGUCUAUAUUGUAGAUUGGCUGCCGACUUAAAGCCUAAAGUUUUUUGGUUGAGCUGUUAGUAUUUUCUUGACCUAAAGGGGCUUUAUUUUAGAGGAUUUGUGGACCCUAUUUUCAGUAACAGUCAUUUGGAACAGAAUAUUCUUUAUUGCGUUUCAUGCUCUCUAGGUCGAAUAUACACUGAUUAGUUGGUCAUUCUUUAAACUUU